rnacentral:rRNA from 1 species
UACGUAGGGUGCAAGCGUUGUCCGGAAUUAUUGGGCGUAAAGAGCUCGUAGGCGGUCUGUCACGUCUGCUGUGAAAACUCAGGGCUUAACCCUGAGCUUGCAGUGGGUACGGGCAGACUAGAGUGCGGUAGGGGAGACUGGAAUUCCUGGUGUAGCGGUGAAAUGCGCAGAUAUCAGGAGGAACACCGGUGGCGAAGGCGGGGUCUCUGGGCCGUAACUGACGCUGGAGGAGCGAAAGCAUGGGGAGCGAACAGG